rnacentral:lncRNA from 1 species
GUUUGUGUGUUUGUUUGCGGAGUCUGUUUGUCUCAUUUUGUUUUUUAAAGUACUAGGGAUUAAACUCAGGGCCUUCACACUGAGCUAUAUUCCCAGCUCAGUUUGUUUGUUUUGAGGCAGGGUCUUGCUAAGUCAUUAAACUGCCCAAGCGGGGCUCAAAUUUUCAAUCUUCCUGCCUCAGCCUUCUAGAGAGCUAGGGUUGCAGCCAUCCACCACUAUAUUUGACUAGGAAUUGGUGUGCUACAUAACUGAACUCAAAGAUUCUUUUUGUGUGUGACAAACACCUAUUGAUUUCUCUAAUACCCUGGUUAGGAAUUGCAUUCUCUUAUAUCCAUACAGCCACAGUAUCACAGUGAACUUCUGACUCGUUUCUGCUCUACUCUCUAGUCAGUUGCUCCUGGUAUAAGCCCAAAUCCAAACUGAGUCCUUCACAGUCUUCCUCAGGGACUUGGAAUGAGAAUCAACACAGUCAAGUCAUCCUUUCUCCACAUAGGUGCAGCAGUUACAGGAAAAUUGGUUGUCAUUUGCUCAACUUGUGCUGUGAGAAACAAAAGUGGGUGUUACAUGGAAAGCUUUGGUUGAAAUAUGGAGAAGUGUACACAGACCUGUAGUGGACAGCUCAGUGUGCCCAUGUCCAUGUGAGCAGUACGCAGACCAAGAAUUACUGUAUCACUAGUCCUCCAGCUCCUCCCAGACACUAACCAACAAAGAAGCCAC